rnacentral:rRNA from 1 species
GAAACCAAGAGUUUCACAACUACCUUGUUCAGAACUUAAAGAGAAAUCUCGAGUUUAUGGACUUCAGGGGGAGUAUGGUCACAAGGCUGAAACUUAAAGGAAUUGACGGAAGGGCACACCAGGAGUGGAGCCUGCGGCUUAAUUUGACUCAACACGGGAAAACUUACCAAGACCGAACAGUAGAAGGAAUGACAGAUUAAGAGUUCUUUCAUGAUUUAUUGGGUAGUGGUGCAUGGCCGUUCUUAAUUGGUGGAGUGAUUUGUCAGGUUAAUUCCGGUAACGAACGAGACUGAAACCUAUUAAUUAGUUUCCUGCCUAUACGACAGGAAUCUCCGCAAGGUCAGGUGCCUCGGUACCACUUCUUAAAGGGACACAUUUCAAUUGUCUCAUUUUAAUCUAUGUCUCUGGCUCCGGUCAGAACUUUUUUAACGUGAGAAAAAGAAAAAGGAAGCAUUCAGCAAUAACAGGUCUGUGAUGCCCUUAGACAUCUUGGGCCGCACGCGCGCUACAAUGGAGUUACUAGAGAGUAUUUUAUCAUCCAAGCCUUAUAUUG